rnacentral:lncRNA from 1 species
CAGGCAAGCAGGCGCAUGCAAACAGACAGGCAACCACACCUGGAGGGAGCCAAGGCAAGGCUCGAGGACUCUUUCCAAGAAGCUUGGGAACCUCUCCCAUACUGAGACUGGUCGGAAUCGGGAGCAUUUGUGCACAGAUGGGAGAGCCUGUGUAUGCAGCAGGAGCCGCAGACUCUAGAAGGGACAUGGCUGGGAACCAAGGUAAGAACUCAUCUACCAAGGUCACACGCAGACGCACUCCUGCCAGUUGUAAGCCCACCAACUCCCUUCCCUGAAGAGAGCUGAGAUCAUUCCACAGAAAGGUGCUACAUGGCCUCAGUAUCAAGCCUGUAAACAUGGCAAUGGCCAAGUUUACUGAACAUCUGCUUGCAAGUGCACACAGCCCAUCUGGCACCGUCGGGGGGAGCGUGAAGGCAGCAGGGUUCUGAACCUGCCAACAAGCGUGAUCCUGGCCCUCCAGGUAAGGCUGGAUCCUCUAUGCAGUGGUGGUGGCAGUGGCUUUGUGGUAUGUGAAGAGGUUGGAUCUGUCAGAGUACUGGCGAGGGGGGAGAGAGAGAGAGAGAGAGAGAGCUUCAUUUGGGCACACAUCAAUAUCCCUCAGCCAUUGUGGAACAAGUGGACCAUGCCACCAGAUAGAACAGCUGAUAAGGUUGAACAGGUUCAAACCCCGGGCGGGGGGGUGGGGGGGGUGGGGGGGGUGGGGGGGUGGGGGGUGGGGGUGGGAAUCUCAGAAUUGAGAACGGUAGGCAUGGCGACAGCUCCCUGCCAAGCUACCUGAUCCGGAACAUGUAACCAUGACACCCCACUGAGAGGACAGUGAUGACUGGUCACGUAGUAUAAAAACCUGGAGUUCUCCAUGCUAAUGAGGUAUCUAGAUAGGCCCAGAGUGGUUGGUCACUGAGCUUACCUUCCUGGGCACUCCCUCCCACAAAAGGUAUUCAAUCCCUGGUUCACCCUAAGUAAGGUGUACGCAUUCACAUUUGCCAUCAAAUAAAAAACGGU